GGCGGGUUGCCCGAGCGGCCAAAGGGAGCAGACUGUAAAUCUGCCGGUGUAUGCCUACGUUGGUUCGAACCCAACACCCGCCA
rnacentral:tRNA from 1 species